UGCAAGUCGAACGGGAAACAUUUCAUUGAGGCUUCGGCGGAUUUGAUCUGUUUCUAGUGGCGGACGGGUGAGUAACGCGUGGGUAACCUGCCUUAUACUGGGGGAUAACAGCCAGAAAUGACUGCUAAUACCGCAUAAGCGCACAGAACCGCAUGGUUCCGUGUGAAAAACUCCGGUGGUAUAAGAUGGACCCGCGUUGGAUUAGCUAGUUGGCAGGGCAGCGGCCUACCAAGGCGACGAUCCAUAGCCGGCCUGAGAGGGUGAACGGCCACAUUGGGACUGAGACACGGCCCAGACUCCUACGGGAGGCAGCAGUGGGGAAUAUUGCACAAUGGGGGAAACCCUGAUGCAGCGACGCCGCGUGAAGGAAGAAGUAUCUCGGUAUGUAAACUUCUAUCAGCAGGGAAGAUAAUGACGGUACCUGACUAAGAAGCCCCGGCUAACUACGUGCCAGCAGCCGCGGUAAUACGUAGGGGGCAAGCGUUAUCCGGAUUUACUGGGUGUAAAGGGAGCGUAGACGGCGCAGCAAGUCUGAUGUGAAAGGCAGGGGCUUAACCCCUGGACCGCAUUGGAAACUGCUGUGCUUGAGUGCCGGAGGGGUAAGCGGAAUUCCUAGUGUAGCGGUGAAAUGCGUAGAUAUUAGGAGGAACACCAGUGGCGAAGGCGGCUUACUGGACG
rnacentral:rRNA from 1 species